ACUGAAUGGACAAGUAAUAGCGGGUGGGCGAAGUACCCAUGACACGACAGUGAUCUUUAGAUGCGACGAAGGCUUCAUUCUUGAAGGAAAGAGAAAUUCUACGUGUGUUCACGAAGAUCCAAACAGUGCGAAGGGAAAGUGGUCAGAGCCAGUGCCUGUUUGCAGUGGAAUUACCUGUGACCAACCCGUUCUACAGCAUGGUAAAGCAUCCACUGGUUCCUUACAAUAUAAUUCAACAGUAACAUAUAGCUGCGAGGAGAACUAUUCUCUUACUGGGAAGGCAAAGUCCACUUGCGUCCAGGAGAAUAAGACUAGCAUCAAGGGUGUGUGGGCAGAUCCAAUACCAAUUUGCACAGAAAUUGGAUUGGAGUCACCUUCGUCGACAUUGAAUUACGUGCACGGAGACGUGGGAGGAAGAACAAAUACGCGUGAUGAAUCAGUAUCAGCAACGAACAUCGGAAUUGGUAUUGGCUGCGCGACAGUUGUUCUCGUCUUGGUAAUCAUUGGUAUUAUUUUGGCAAUUAAAAACAAAAGAAUGGCGAAGAUGUAAGUGCUCGUGCGAUCACACCCUACAACAAACCUGGAGGCGGGAAAUGCCGGGUCGACUUUUAUAGAAAGUCAAAUGCAAACAAUAAAUGACGUUUCC